UACGUAGGGUGCAAGCGUUGUCCGGAAGUUAUUGGGCGUAAAGAGCUCGUAGGCGGUUCGUCACGUUCGGUCUCGUGAAAACCUGAGGGCUCAACCUCAGGCCUGCAGUCGAUACGGGCGGACUUGAGUGACUGCAGGGGAGACUGGAAGUUCCUGGUGUAGUGCGGUGAAAUGCGCAGAUAUCAGGAGGAACACCGGUGGCGAAGGCGGAUUCUCUGGGGCAUGGUCCUGACCGCUGAGGAGCGAAAGCGUGGGGAGCGAACAGG
rnacentral:rRNA from 1 species